rnacentral:rRNA from 1 species
AUUGAACGCUGGCGGCAGGCCUAACACAUGCAAGUCGAGCGAGCGGCGGACGGGUGAGUAAUGUAUGGGGACUGCCCGAUAGAGGGGGAUAACUACUGGAAACGGUAGCUAAUACCGCAUACUAUCGGAUAACCCAUAUGGGAUUAGCUAGUAGGUGAGGUAAUGGCUCACCAAGGCCACGAUCCAUAGCCGGACUGAGAGGGGGAUCAGCCACACUGGGACUGAGACACGGCCCAGACUCCUACGGAGGCAGCAGUGGGGAAGCUGGCGCAAUGGACGAAAGUCUGACCGAGCCACGCCGCGUGUAUGAAGAAGGUUCUAGGAUUGUAAAGCACUGUCGGUCGGGAGGCGUUACCUAACGAAGAAGCCACGGCUAACUACGUGCCAGCAGCCGCGGUAAUAC